rnacentral:rRNA from 1 species
CCUACGGGUGGCAGCAGUGAGGAAUAUUGGUCAAUGGACGCAAGUCUGAACCAGCCAUGCCGCGUGCAGGAAGACGGCUCUAUGAGUUGUAAACUGCUUUUGUACGAGGGUAAACGCAGAUACGCGUAUCUGUCUGAAAGUAUCGUACGAAUAAGGAUCGGCUAACUCCGUGCCAGCAGCCGCGGUAAUACGGAGGAUUCAAGCGUUAUCCGGAUUUAUUGGGUUUAAAGGGUGCGUAGGCGGUCGGAUAAGUUAGAGGUGAAAUCCCGAGGCUCAACUUCGGAAUUGCCUCUGAUACUGUUCGGCUAGAGAGUAGUUGCGGUAGGCGGAAUGUAUGGUGUAGCGGUGAAAUGCUUAGAUAUCACGAAGAACCCCGAUUGCGAAGGCAGCUUACUAAACUGUGACUGACAUUGAUGCUCGAAAGUGUGGGUAUCAAACAGGAUUAGAUACACCUGUAGUC